AGUCGCAAAAAAACAGGGGAAACGCUACUUUUAUACUAUUAACAUAUACCAACCAAACACGUCCAGAUAGCAUUCCUUUGUCUAUAUGUUUUUUCAUAUCACCUGCAGGUACUUGAAAUCAAGCUAGGCUUAGAAAAAACAGAUCUGUCUCCGGCAUUGAAUAAAUAAACCCAUUUCCCCCUAUGCCAUAAUCCACUAAAUAGUCUUGGGUGGUAGAUGCCACCUCAAUGUACCCACCAUUAUUCCGUCCAAUAGCAUAUGGUAUGUACAAAGAAUCCACCCCACGAGAAGUAGAAUGUAUCCAAACAACAUCUGCGCAGGUGGUAGGAUUGCCGACCUACUUCAUCAAAACUUUGCCUUUUGACUGCAUGCCCCAUCUGUGACUAUGAGUACUGAAGAGAUGAACUAGAAUGGCAUGAAGCACAGGUACUUCUUCUGGAGCUUCUUCAAUGCUCCAUCAGUCUU
rnacentral:lncRNA from 1 species